GUUCUGCAGCACAGUUGUAGGGGCCCUGGGCCAAAGUAACUUCCAGAAGAUGACCUCCGAGGCAUUUGUCUGA
rnacentral:snoRNA from 1 species